GCACAGUCAUGGCGGCGGCCGGAGCUGCUGCCCCGGACGAUGGCGAGGAUGCCGCGCCGGAGGCUGAGGCUCUGGCCGCGGCCCGGGAGCGAAGCAGCCGCUUCUUGAGCGGCCUGGAGCUGGUGAAGCAGGGCGCCGAGGCGCGCGUGUUCCGCGGCCGCUUCCAGGGCCGCGCGGCGGUGAUCAAGCACCGCUUCCCCAAGGGCUACCGGCACCCGGCGCUGGAGGCGCGGCUUGGCCGGCGGCGGACCUUGCAGGAAGCGCGGGCUCUCCUCCGCUGCCGCCGCGCGGGAAUAUCUGCCCCAGUUGUCUUUUUUGUGGACUAUGCUUCCAACUGCUUAUAUAUGGAAGAAAUUGAAGGCUCAGUGACUGUUCGAGAUUAUAUUCAGUCUACUAUGGAGACUGAAAAAACUCCCCAAAGUCUCUCCAACUUAGCCAAGACAAUUGGGCAGGUUUUGGCUCGAAUGCACGAUGAAGACCUCAUUCAUGGUGAUCUCACCACCUCCAACAUGCUCCUGAAACCCCCCCUGGAACAGCUGAACAUUGUCCUCAUAGACUUUGGGCUGAGUUUCAUUUCGACACUUCCAGAGGAUAAGGGAGUAGACCUCUAUGUCCUGGAGAAGGCCUUCCUCAGUACCCAUCCCGACACUGAAACUGUGUUUGAAGUCUUUCUGAAGAGCUACUCCACCUCUUCCAAAAAGGCCAGGCCAGUGCUAAAAAAAUUAGAUGAAGUGCGCCUGAGAGGAAGAAAGAGGUCCAUGGUUGGGUAGAAAAAUGUGUAUGACAGCCACACACAGUGAAGCUCUUUUUUCAAAGUAAAUUGAAGACAUGCUAAAAGUAUGAGAUGAGAUCUAAGUAAAGGUGUUAAGGUAUUUUUAA